UACGUAGGGGGCCAGCGUUGUCCGAAGUUACUGGGCGUAAAGAGCGCGUAGGCGGGAGGUUAAGUCCGCUGUGAAAGUCCGCAGCUUAACUGCGGAAGGUCGGUGGAGACUGGCUUCCUUGAAGCAGAUGGGGGGAGAUGGAAUUACCGGUGUAGCAGUGAAAUGCGUAGAGAUGUGGAGGAACACCGAUGGCGAAGGCAGCCCCCUGGGUCAAGAUUGACGCUCAUGCACGAAAGCGUGGGGAGCAAACAGG
rnacentral:rRNA from 1 species